GAUGAAGAACGUAGCGAAAUGCGAUAAGUAAUGUGAAUUGCAGAAUUCAGUGAAUCGUCGAAUCUUUGAACGCACAUUGCGCCCGCCAGUAUUCUGGCGAGCAUGCCUGUUCGAGCGUCAUUUCAACCAUCAAGCCCCAGGCUUGUGUUGGAGCCCUGCGGCUGCCGCAGCCUCCCAAAACCAGUGGCGGGCUCGCUAUCACACCGAGUGCAGUAGUUUACUCUUCGCUCAGGGCGUGUGGCGGGUGCUAGCCGUGAAACCCCCAACUUCUCAAGGUUGACCUCGGAUCAGGUAGGAAUACCCGCUGAACUUAAGCAUAUCAAUAAGCGGAGGA
rnacentral:misc_RNA from 1 species